rnacentral:rRNA from 1 species
GACGUAGGGGGCGAGCGUUGUCCGGAUUUAUUGGGCGUAAAGCGCGCGCAGGCGGUUCGGAAAGUCGGAUGUGAAAAUCCAGGGCUCAACCCCGGACCUGCACCCGAUACUCCCGGACUGGAGGCAGGUAGGGGAGAGCGGAAUUCCCGGUGUAGCGGUGAAAUGCGCAGAUAUCGGGAAGAACACCGGUGGCGAAGGCG